GGGUUGUGAGGUUAAGCGACUAAGCGUACACGGUGGAUGCCUAGGCAAUCAGAGGCGAUGAAGGACGUGCUAAUCUGCGAUAAGCGUCGGUAAGGUGAUAUGAACCGUUAUAACCGACGAUUUCCGAAUGGGGAAACCCAGUGCAAUUCGUUGCACUAUCGUUUGAUGAAUACAUAGUCAAACGAGGCGAACCGAGGGAACUGAAACAUCUCAGUACCUCGAGGAAAAGAAAUCAACCGAGAUUCCCCUAGUAGCGGCGAGCGAACGGGGAGCAGCCCAGAGUCUUAAUCAGCAUUAGCAUCAGGAGAACGGUCUGGAAAGGCCGGCAGUAAAGGGUGAUAGCCCCGUAUCCGAAGG
rnacentral:rRNA from 1 species